rnacentral:rRNA from 1 species
ACGCUCGACACCUACGGGAGCAGCAGUCGGGAAUAUUGCGCAAUGGAGGAAACUCUGACGCAGUGACGCCGCGUAUAGGAAGAAGGUUUUCGGAUUGUAAACUAUUGUCGUUAGGGAAGAUACAAGACAGUACCUAAGGAGGAAGCACCGGCUAACUAUGUGCCAGCAGCCGACGGUAAUCUGAGGCGGGCUGGACAAGGC